rnacentral:rRNA from 1 species
CCUACGGGAGGCAGCAGUGAGGAAUAUUGGACAAUGGUCGGGAGACUGAACCAGCCAAGCCGCGUGAGGGAUGAAGGUACAGAGUAUCGUAAACCUCUUUUGUCAGGGAACAAAGGCGGGGACGCGUCCCCGGAGGAGUGUACCUGAAGAAAAAGCAUCGGCUAACUCCGUGCCAGCAGCCGCGGUAAUACGGAGGAUGCGAGCGUUAUCCGGAUUUAUUGGGUUUAAAGGGUGCGCAGGCGGUCUGUUAAGUCAGCGGUCAAAGCCCGGGGCCAAACCCCGGCCCGCCGUUGAAACUGGCAGUCUCGAGUUGGAGAGAAGUAUGCGGAAUGCGCGGUGUAGCGGUGAAAUGCAUAGAUAUCGCGCAGAACUCCGAUUGCGAAGGCAGCAUGCCGGCUCCACACUGACGCUGAGGCACGAAAGCGUGGGUAUCGAACAGGAUUAGAUACCCGAGUAGUC